AAAGAAAAAAAGAAUAGAAAUUAAUUCUAGAAGGAGAAGGAAAGUUCUAGAGAGAGAGAGAGGGAAAGCAUCGAGGGAGUAAGGUAACCGCCGGCCACGAGAAGUCCGGUUCCGGUCGAACCUUCUUCAUGAAAUCUUCACAGAAUCAGGGGAGAACAACUCUCAAAUCGUCCAAAUCCGUCAAGGAUUCAAGAAAAUCCGUAGGGAGCCUUGAUGGAUUUGGAAAAGAGUUGUUCCAGCUUUGAAUUGAUAGAUGUGAGGAAGAAGGCGGAGUGAUGAGGAAGAAGGCGGAGUGAUGCGUUUCAGGCAAAGAGAGGGCCGCGCGUUGUCGGAAUGGUCGACACGUGUCCGGCGUGUAUUGGCGGAGAAAUUCAACGAAAUGCUUCGCGUCGGGCAGGAUACGAACGCCGGCAGCCGCUACUCGAGUCCGCGACCCGAUGGCCCGCGCGCAACCCGGAUCACCGACCCGGCUUCGCGUUGCCAUGCGUCAGCGUAAAAGAAUUCGGAUUUCCAGCGCGUUCUUUCCGGUUUCGAACCGACGACCUCGACCUCGGCUGACCGUUCAGCGGGCGCCACGCGGCAUUACCUCAGCGCGCGUCUUCCCUCCCUCAUGCGCGUCCGUACACGCGCGUGGCUUUGCGCGUGUAACACAUUUCCAGACGCGUGUGAGCGCGUGAGGUGCCGUUUUCAGCCCGUUCAACGUCUGUUUUUCCUGAAUUUCCUCCCGAUUCCAACUCUAACCCUAUUUCUAAUAUGAAAUAGGACUUAAUAGAGAAAAUUAGUACUUUGUAGACACAGUAUUCGAGUAAAAGCGCUAAACGAAGAACACGCGUCAAUCAGGUAAGUCAUCAUACGGAACUUUAGAAAGAAAUACUUGUAGGAAUCACUUGGUUAUACAUGCAUGUUAGUUUAAUUACCUUAGGUGGUAACUUUCCAUGAUUGAAUGAUUGAAUGUAUGUAACUUGGUUGUUAAGAGUAUGGAUGUAUUAUGUGAAGUAUU